GGGAUAGAAGCUCAGUGGUUGAGCAAUCGAUUGCAGCUUUAUAAAAGACAUCGAUAGGCCGCGUGUUCGAUCCACGCCUGUCCCU